rnacentral:rRNA from 1 species
CCUACGGGAGGCAGCAGUGAGGAAUAUUGGUCAAUGGACGAGAGUCUGAACCAGCCAAGUAGCGUGAAGGAUGACUGUCCUAUGGGUUGUAAACUUCUUUUAUAUGGGAAUAAAAUGUUCCACGUGUGGGCUUUUGUAUGUACCAUAUGAAUAAGGAUCGGCUAACUCCGUGCCAGCAGCCGCGGUAAUACGGAGGAUCCGAGCGUUAUCCGGAUUUAUUGGGUUUAAAGGGAGCGUAGGUGGAUUGUUAAGUCAGUUGUGAAAGUUUGCGGCUCAACCGUAAAAUUGCAGUUGAAACUGGCAGUCUUGAGUACAGUAGAGGUGGGCGGAAUUCGUGGUGUAGCGGUGAAAUGCUUAGAUAUCACGAAGAACUCCGAUUGCGAAGGCAGCUCACUGGACUGCAACUGACACUGAGGCUCGAAAGUGUGGGUAUCAAACAGGAUUAGAUACCCUUGUAGUC